AGCAGCCGCCGCGGGAAUACGUAGGGUGCAAGCGUUAAUCGGAAUUACUGGGCGUAAAGGGAGCGCAGGCGGUUUAGUAAGUCUGAAGUUAAAGGCAUUGGCUCAACCAAUGUAUGCUUUGGAAACUGUUAGACUUGAGUGCAGAAGGGGAGAGUAGAAUUCCAUGUGUAGCGGUGAAAUGCGUAGAUAUAUGGAGGAGCACCGGUGGCGAAAGCGGCUCUCUGGUCUGUCACUGACGCUGAGGCUCGAAAGCGUGGGUAGCGAACAGGAUUAGAUACCCCUGUAGUCCCUGUCUCUUAUACA
rnacentral:rRNA from 1 species